UACGUAGGUGGCAAGCGUUGUCCGGAUUUACUGGGCGUAAAGAGCGCGCAGGCGGCUGGUCAAGUCCGAUGUGAAAUCUCCCGGCUUAACUGGGAAACCGCAUCGGAAAACUGAUCGGCUUGAAGGUGGGAGAGGGUAGUGGAAUUCCCGGUGUAGUGGUGAAAUGCGUAGAUAUCGGCAGGAACACCCAGGGGGAAACCAGCCG
rnacentral:rRNA from 1 species